GGUCGCUUAGCUCAGCUGGUUAGAGCGUGGUGCUAAUAUCCUCUCUUCGGAGAUAGAUGCUGGCACGCCAAGGUCGGCGGUUCGAUCCCGCCAGUGAUCA
rnacentral:tRNA from 1 species